GGGUUGUGAGGUUAAGCGACUAAGCGUACACGGUGGAUGCCCUGGCAGUCAGAGGCGAUGAAGGACGUGCUAAUCUGCGAUAAGCGUCGGUAAGGUGAUAUGAACCGUUAUAACCGGCGAUUUCCGAAUGGGGAAACCCAGUGUGUUUCGACACACUAUCAUUAACUGAAUCCAUAGGUUAAUGAGGCGAACCGGGGGAACUGAAACAUCUAAGUACCCCGAGGAAAAGAAAUCAACCGAGAUUCCCCCAGUAGCGGCGAGCGAACGGGGAGCAGCCCAGAGCCUGAAUCAGUGUGUGUGUUAGUGGAAGCGUCUGGAAAGGCGCGCGAUACAGGGUGACAGCCCCGUACACAAAAAUGCACAUGCUGUGAGCUCGAUGAGUAGGGCGGGACACGUGGUAUCCUGUCUGAAUAUGGGGGGACCAUCCUCCAAGGCUAAAUACUCCUGACUGACCGAUAGUGAACCAGUACCGUGAGGGAAAGGCGAAAAGAACCCCGGCGAGGGGAGUGAAAAAGAACCUGAAACCGUGUACGUACAAGCAGUGGGAGCACGCUUAGGCGUGUGACUGCGUACCUUUUGUAUAAUGGGUCAGCGACUUAUAUUCUGUAGCAAGGUUAACCGAAUAGGGGAGCCGAAGGGAAACCGAGUCUUAACUGGGCGUUAAGUUGCAGGGUAUAGACCCGAAACCCGGUGAUCUAGCCAUGGGCAGGUUGAAGGUUGGGUAACACUAACUGGAGGACCGAACCGACUAAUGUUGAAAAAUUAGCGGAUGACUUGUGGCUGGGGGUGAAAGGCCAAUCAAACCGGGAGAUAGCUGGUUCUCCCCGAAAGCUAUUUAGGUAGCGCCUCGUGAAUUCAUCUCCGGGGGUAGAGCACUGUUUCGGCAAGGGGGUCAUCCCGACUUACCAACCCGAUGCAAACUGCGAAUACCGGAGAAUGUUAUCACGGGAGACACACGGCGGGUGCUAACGUCCGUCGUGAAGAGGGAAACAACCCAGACCGCCAGCUAAGGUCCCAAAGUCAUGGUUAAGUGGGAAACGAUGUGGGAAGGCCCAGACAGCCAGGAUGUUGGCUUAGAAGCAGCCAUCAUUUAAAGAAAGCGUAAUAGCUCACUGGUCGAGUCGGCCUGCGCGGAAGAUGUAACGGGGCUAAACCAUGCACCGAAGCUGCGGCAGCGACACUGUGUGUUGUUGGGUAGGGGAGCGUUCUGUAAGCCUGUGAAGGUGUACUGUGAGGUAUGCUGGAGGUAUCAGAAGUGCGAAUGCUGACAUAAGUAACGAUAAAGCGGGUGAAAAGCCCGCUCGCCGGAAGACCAAGGGUUCCUGUCCAACGUUAAUCGGGGCAGGGUGAGUCGACCCCUAAGGCGAGGCCGAAAGGCGUAGUCGAUGGGAAACAGGUUAAUAUUCCUGUACUUGGUGUUACUGCGAAGGGGGGACGGAGAAGGCUAUGUUGGCCGGGCGACGGUUGUCCCGGUUUAAGCGUGUAGGCUGGUUUUCCAGGCAAAUCCGGAAAAUCAAGGCUGAGGCGUGAUGACGAGGCACUACGGUGCUGAAGCAACAAAUGCCCUGCUUCCAGGAAAAGCCUCUAAGCAUCAGGUAACAUCAAAUCGUACCCCAAACCGACACAGGUGGUCAGGUAGAGAAUACCAAGGCGCUUGAGAGAACUCGGGUGAAGGAACUAGGCAAAAUGGUGCCGUAACUUCGGGAGAAGGCACGCUGAUAUGUAGGUGAAGUCCCUCGCGGAUGGAGCUGAAAUCAGUCGAAGAUACCAGCUGGCUGCAACUGUUUAUUAAAAACACAGCACUGUGCAAACACGAAAGUGGACGUAUACGGUGUGACGCCUGCCCGGUGCCGGAAGGUUAAUUGAUGGGGUCAGCGCAAGCGAAGCUCUUGAUCGAAGCCCCGGUAAACGGCGGCCGUAACUAUAACGGUCCUAAGGUAGCGAAAUUCCUUGUCGGGUAAGUUCCGACCUGCACGAAUGGCGUAAUGAUGGCCAGGCUGUCUCCACCCGAGACUCAGUGAAAUUGAACUCGCUGUGAAGAUGCAGUGUACCCGCGGCAAGACGGAAAGACCCCGUGAACCUUUACUAUAGCUUGACACUGAACAUUGAGCCUUGAUGUGUAGGAUAGGUGGGAGGCUUUGAAGUGUGGACGCCAGUCUGCAUGGAGCCGACCUUGAAAUACCACCCUUUAAUGUUUGAUGUUCUAACGUUGACCCGUGAUCCGGGUUGCGGACAGUGUCUGGUGGGUAGUUUGACUGGGGCGGUCUCCUCCUAAAGAGUAACGGAGGAGCACGAAGGUUGGCUAAUCCUGGUCGGACAUCAGGAGGUUAGUGCAAUGGCAUAAGCCAGCUUGACUGCGAGCGUGACGGCGCGAGCAGGUGCGAAAGCAGGUCAUAGUGAUCCGGUGGUUCUGAAUGGAAGGGCCAUCGCUCAACGGAUAAAAGGUACUCCGGGGAUAACAGGCUGAUACCGCCCAAGAGUUCAUAUCGACGGCGGUGUUUGGCACCUCGAUGUCGGCUCAUCACAUCCUGGGGCUGAAGUAGGUCCCAAGGGUAUGGCUGUUCGCCAUUUAAAGUGGUACGCGAGCUGGGUUUAGAACGUCGUGAGACAGUUCGGUCCCUAUCUGCCGUGGGCGCUGGAGAACUGAGGGGGGCUGCUCCUAGUACGAGAGGACCGGAGUGGACGCAUCACUGGUGUUCGGGUUGUCAUGCCAAUGGCACUGCCCGGUAGCUAAAUGCGGAAGAGAUAAGUGCUGAAAGCAUCUAAGCACGAAACUUGCCCCGAGAUGAGUUCUCCCUGACUCCUUGAGAGUCCUGAAGGAACGUUGAAGACGACGACGUUGAUAGGCCGGGUGUGUAAGCGCAGCGAUGCGUUGAGCUAACCGGUACUAAUGAACCGUGAGGCUUAACCUUACAACGCCGAAG
rnacentral:rRNA from 1 species